UGCGUAGGCGGGGCAAUUAGUCAGUGGUGAAAUCCUGCGGCUUAGCCGUAGAACUGCCAUUGAUACUGUUGCCCUUGAGUAUAGUUGAGGUGGGCGGAAUGUGUAAUGUAGCGGUGAAAUGCAUAGAGAUUACACAGAACACCAAUUGCGAAGGCAGCUCACUAAGCUAUAACUGACGCUGAGGCACGAAAGCGUGGGGAGCGAACAGGAUUAGAUACCCUGGUAGUCC
rnacentral:rRNA from 1 species